AGCAUGCACCCGCCGUUUAUUCCCUGAGUAAGGGCGACUGAAAGGGGAUUAGCCCAGCGCAUAACCUCCCGGUCCUUUUGUUGGCCGCGGAGGGGUGUUGCGUUUCGGUGGAUCCGUACCGCUCGAGUUGCUCACCGCCUAAGUCAUUGCUUGAAUGCAGCCCCAAGGAGGGUGGUAGGCCCGUGUGGCGGCGCCUGUAAAAAGGUUGGAGGCAGCUUGGGCGGAGGGAUCUUUACCGUAGAGUCGGGUUGCUUAGUACUGCAGCCCUAAGUAGGUGGUAAACUCCAUCUAAGGCUAAAUACCAACACGAGUCCGAUAUUCGACAAGUACCGUGAGGGAAAGCUGAAAAGGACUCUGAAGAGAGAGUUCAAGAGGACGUGAAACCAUUAGAAGCUUAAACGGGUGGAACCGUGAAGGAUGAAAGAGGGGAUUCAGGUCGUGGGUGUGCUGGGUGAGGGGCGAGUUUACCUUGUGAGAGAGGACCGUUGAUUACGUUAUGUGUAGCGGCGGCUCGCACCUCAGUGCCCGGCGCGCCGGCGGUCUUAGUUCUCCCUCGAGUAAUGAUGGUGGCGAGCCGCUGCCGGGACCCCUGUGGCCCUUCCGGACUGGUAAGCCAGGUGCGAGAGUGCCCGGCUGAUGACCGGAGGGGAUGACGUGUGGGUGCUGGCGGCGGUGACUGCAAGGAGGCGGCUUGGGCAACCGGGCCGCCUCUCGCCACUUGAGAGAGAUCGGUAAUCCACCCGACCCGUCUGAAAC
rnacentral:rRNA from 1 species